rnacentral:rRNA from 1 species
UACGUAGGGUGCAAGCGUUGUCCGGAAUUAUUGGGCGUAAAGAGCUCGUAGGUGGCGGGUCACGUCGGGUGUGAAAGCCCGGGGCUCAACCCCGGGCCUGCAGUCGAUACGGGCAGACUAGAGUGCGGUAGGGGAGACUGGAAUUCCUGGUGUAGCGGUGAAAUGCGCAGAUAUCAGGAGGAACACCGGUGGCGAAGGCGGGUCUCUGGGCCGUAACUGACGCUGAGGAGCGAAAGCGUGGGGAGCGAACAGG